rnacentral:rRNA from 1 species
GGGUUGUGAGGUUAAGCGACUAAGCGUACACGGUGGAUGCCCUGGCAGUCAGAGGCGAUGAAGGACGUGCUAAUCUGCGAUAAGCGUCGGUAAGGUGAUAUGAACCGUUAUAACCGGCGAUUUCCGAAUGGGGAAACCCAGUGUGAUUCGUCACACUAUCAUUACGUGAAUACAUAGCGUAAUGAAGCGAACCGGGGGAACUGAAACAUCUAAGUACCCCGAGGAAAAGAAAUCAACCGAGAUUCCCCCAGUAGCGGCGAGCGAACGGGGAGCAGCCCAGAGUCUGAAUCAGCUUGUGUGUUAGUGGAACGGUCUGGAAAGUCCGACGGUACAGGGUGAUAGUCCCGUACACCAAAAUGCACAGGUUGUGAACUCGAAGAGUAGGGCGGGACACGUGGUAUCCUGUCUGAAUAUGGGGGGACCAUCCUCCAAGGCUAAAUACUCCUGACUGACCGAUAGUGAACCAGUACCGUGAGGGAAAGGCGAAAAGAACCCCGGCGAGGGGAGUGAAAAAGAACCUGAAACCGUGUACGUACAAGCAGUGGGAGCCUCUUUAUGGGGUGACUGCGUACCUUUUGUAUAAUGGGUCAGCGACUUAUAUUCUGUAGCAAGGUUAACCGUAUAGGGGAGCCGAAGGGAAACCGAGUCUUAACUGGGCGUUAAGUUGCAGGGUAUAGACCCGAAACCCGGUGAUCUAGCCAUGGGCAGGUUGAAGGUUGGGUAACACUAACUGGAGGACCGAACCGACUAAUGUUGAAAAAUUAGCGGAUGACUUGUGGCUGGGGGUGAAAGGCCAAUCAAACCGGGAGAUAGCUGGUUCUCCCCGAAAGCUAUUUAGGUAGCGCCUCGUGAAUUCAUCUUCGGGGUAGAGCACUGUUUCGGCUAGGGGGUCAUCCCGACUUACCAACCCGAUGCAAACUGCGAAUACCGAAGAAUGUUAUCACGGGAGACACACGGCGGGUGCUAACGUCCGUCGUGAAGAGGGAAACAACCCAGACCGCCAGCUAAGGUCCCAAAGUCAUGGUUAAGUGGGAAACGAUGUGGGAAGGCACAGACAGCCAGGAUGUUGGCUUAGAAGCAGCCAUCAUUUAAAGAAAGCGUAAUAGCUCACUGGUCGAGUCGGCCUGCGCGGAAGAUGUAACGGGGCUAAACCAUGCACCGAAGCUGCGGCAGCGACACUAUGUGUUGUUGGGUAGGGGAGCGUUCUGUAAGCCGUUGAAGGUGUACUGUGAGGUAUGCUGGAGGUAUCAGAAGUGCGAAUGCUGACAUAAGUAACGAUAAUGCGGGUGAAAAACCCGCACGCCGGAAGACCAAGGGUUCCUGUCCAACGUUAAUCGGGGCAGGGUGAGUCGACCCCUAAGGCGAGGCCGAAAGGCGUAGUCGAUGGGAAACAGGUUAAUAUUCCUGUACUUGGUGUUACUGCGAAGGGGGGACGGAGAAGGCUAUGUUAGCCGGGCGACGGUUGUCCCGGUUUAAGCAUGUAGGCGGAGGUUCCAGGUAAAUCCGGUACCUUUUUAACGCUGAGGUGUGAUGACGAGGCACUACGGUGCUGAAGUAACAAAUGCCCUGCUUCCAGGAAAAGCCUCUAAGCAUCAGGUAACACGAAAUCGUACCCCAAACCGACACAGGUGGUCAGGUAGAGAAUACCAAGGCGCUUGAGAGAACUCGGGUGAAGGAACUAGGCAAAAUGGUGCCGUAACUUCGGGAGAAGGCACGCUGAUAUGUAGGUGAAGCGGUUUACCCGUGGAGCUGAAAUCAGUCGAAGAUACCAGCUGGCUGCAACUGUUUAUUAAAAACACAGCACUGUGCAAACACGAAAGUGGACGUAUACGGUGUGACGCCUGCCCGGUGCCGGAAGGUUAAUUGAUGGGGUUAUCCGUAAGGAGAAGCUCUUGAUCGAAGCCCCGGUAAACGGCGGCCGUAACUAUAACGGUCCUAAGGUAGCGAAAUUCCUUGUCGGGUAAGUUCCGACCUGCACGAAUGGCGUAAUGAUGGCCAGGCUGUCUCCACCCGAGACUCAGUGAAAUUGAAUUCGCUGUGAAGAUGCAGUGUACCCGCGGCAAGACGGAAAGACCCCGUGAACCUUUACUAUAGCUUGACACUGAACACUGGUCCUUGAUGUGUAGGAUAGGUGGGAGGCUUUGAAGUGUGGACGCCAGUCUGCAUGGAGCCAUCCUUGAAAUACCACCCUUUAAUGGCUGGUGUUCUAACGUGGACCCGUUACCCGGGUUGCGGACAGUGUCUGGUGGGUAGUUUGACUGGGGCGGUCUCCUCCUAAAGAGUAACGGAGGAGCACGAAGGUUAGCUAAUCCUGGUCGGACAUCAGGAGGUUAGUGCAAAGGCAUAAGCUAGCUUGACUGCGAGAGUGACGGCUCGAGCAGGUGCGAAAGCAGGUCUUAGUGAUCCGGUGGUUCUGAAUGGAAGGGCCAUCGCUCAACGGAUAAAAGGUACUCCGGGGAUAACAGGCUGAUACCGCCCAAGAGUUCAUAUCGACGGCGGUGUUUGGCACCUCGAUGUCGGCUCAUCACAUCCUGGGGCUGAAGUAGGUCCCAAGGGUAUGGCUGUUCGCCAUUUAAAGUGGUACGCGAGCUGGGUUUAGAACGUCGUGAGACAGUUCGGUCCCUAUCUGCCGUGGGCGCUGGAGAAUUGAGGGGGGCUGCUCCUAGUACGAGAGGACCGGAGUGGACGCAUCACUGGUGUUCGGGUUGUCAUGCCAAUGGCAUUGCCCGGUAGCUAAAUGCGGAAGAGAUAAGUGCUGAAAGCAUCUAAGCACGAAACUUGCCCCGAGAUGAGUUCUCCCUGAGACUUAAAGUCUCCUGAAGGAACGUUAAAGACGAUGACGUUGAUAGGUCGGGUGUGUAAGUGUAGCGAUACAUUGAGCUAACCGAUACUAAUGAACCGUGAGGCUUAACCUUACAACGCCGAAG